GAUCAUGGCUCAGGAUGAACGCUAGCUACAGGCUUAACACAUGCAAGUCGAGGGGCAGCAUGAACUUAGCUUGCUAAGUUUGAUGGCGACCGGCGCACGGGUGAGUAACACGUAUCCAACCUGCCGAUGACUCGGGGAUAGCCUUUCGAAAGAAAAGAAUUAAUACCCGACUGGCAUAGUUCUUCCGCAUGGUGGGAACUAUUAAAGAAAUUUCGGUUCGAUCGAUGGGGAGUGCGUUCCCUACUUAGG
rnacentral:rRNA from 1 species